CCCUUAGAUGUUCUGGGCCGCACGCGCGUUACACUGAUGCAUUCAACGAGCUUAUAACCUUGGCCGAGAGGCCUGGGCAAUCUUGUUAACGUGCAUCGUGAUAGGGAUAGAUUAUUGAAAUUAUUAAUCUUGAACGAGGAAUUCCUAGUAAACGCAGAUCAUCAAUCUGCAUUGAUUACGUCCCUGCCCUUUGUACACACCGCCCGUCGCUCCUACCGAUUGGGUGUGCUGGUGAAAUGUUCGGAUCGGCCGUUUGUCGCGGUUUCCGCGGCUCGUGGCUGAGAAGUUCAUUAAACCCUCCCACCUAGAGGAAGGAGAAGUCGUAACA
rnacentral:rRNA from 1 species